CGCGUAGGCGGCCUUUUAAGUUGAUGGUGAAACCUCCCGGCUCAACCGGGAGAGGUCUGUCAAUACUGGGAGGCUUGAGGACAGCAGAGGAGGGUGGAAUUCCCAGUGUAGCGGUGAAAUGCGUAGAUAUUGGGAGGAACACCAGUGGCGAAGGCGGCCCUCUGGGUUGUUCCUGACGCUGAGGCGCGAAAGCGUGGGGAGUGAAGCGGAUUAGAUACCCGCGUAAUCCACGCCCUAAACGGUGGACACUAGGUAUGGGAGGUAUCGACCCUUUCCGUGCCGAAGCUAACGCCUUAAGUGUCCCGCCUGGGGACAACGGCCGCAAGGCUAAA
rnacentral:rRNA from 1 species